UGCAAGUCNAACGGCAGCACGGGCUUNNNCCUGGUGGCGAGUGGCGAANGGGUGAGUANNAUCAUCGGAACGUGCCCUGUAGUGGGGGAUAAAUAGNCNAAAGAUUAGCUAAUACCGCAUACGACCUGAGGGUGAAAGCGGGGGACCGCAAGGCCUCGCGCUACAGGAGCGGCCGAUGUCUGAUUAGCUAGUUGGUGGGGUAAAAGCCUACCAAGGCGACGAUCAGUAGCUGGUCUGAGAGGACGAUCAGCCACACUGGGACUGAGACACGGCCCAGACUCCUACGGGAGGCAGCAGUGGGGAAUUUUGGACAAUGGGGGCAACCCUGAUCCAGCAAUGCCGCGUGUGUGAAGAAGGCCUUCGGGUUGUAAAGCACUUUUGUCCGGAAAGAAAUGGCCCUGGUUAAUACCCGGGGUCGAUGACGGUACCGGAAGAAUAAGCACCGGCUAACUACGUGCCAGCAGCCGCGGUAAUACGUAGGGUGCGAGCGUUAAUCGGAAUUACUGGGCGUAAAGCGUGCGCAGGCGGUUUUGUAAGACAGGCGUGAAAUCCCCGAGCUCAACUUGGGAAUGGCGCUUGUGACUGCAAGGCUAGAGUAUGUCAGAGGGGGGUAGAAUUCCACGUGUAGCAGUGAAAUGCGUANAGAUGUGGAGGAAUACCGAUGGCGAAGGCAGCCCCCUGGGACGUCACUGACGCUCAUGCACGAAAGCGUGGGGAGCAAACAGGA
rnacentral:rRNA from 1 species